UAAGUCCCGCAACGRGCGCAACCMUUAUCMUUAGUUGCUACGCAAGGGCAHUCUAAGGAGACUGCCGGUGACAAACCGGAGGAAGGWGGGGAUGACGUCAAGUCCUCAUGGCCCUUAUGCGCAGGGCUUCACACGUCAUACAAUGGUCGGUACAGAGGGUMGCCAACCCGCGAGGGGGAGCUAAUCCCAUAAAGCCAGUCGUAGUCCGGAUCGCAGUCUGCAACUCGACUGCGUGAAGUCGGAAUCGCUAGUAAUCGCGGAUCAGAAUGUCGCGGUGAAUACGUUCCCGGGUCUUGUACACACCGCCCGUCACACCAUGGGAGCGGGUUCUGCCAGAAGUAGUUAGCCUAACCGCAAGGAGGGCGAUUACCACG
rnacentral:rRNA from 1 species